CCUACGGGUGGCUGCAGUCGAGGAUCUUCGGCAAUGGGCGAAAGCCUGACCGAGCGACGCCGCGUGCGGGAUGAAGGCCUUCGGGUUGUAAACCGCCGUCGGAGUGGAGGAAAUUCCAUGGGGCAAUCCCUGUGGAUUGACUAAUACUCAGAGGAAGGACGGGCUAAGUUCGUGCCAGCAGCCGCGGUAAGACGAACCGUCCAAACGUUAUUCGGAAUCACUGGGCUUAAAGGGUGCGUAGGCGGCUCAGAAAGUAGGGUGUGAAAGCCCUCGGCUUAACCGAGGAAUUGCGCUCUAAACUACUGGGCUCGAGGAAGGCAGAGGUAAGCGGAACUUAGGGUGGAGCGGUGAAAUGCGUUGAUAUCCUAAGGAACACCAGGAGCGAAAGCGGCUUACUGGGCCUUUUCUGACGCUGAGGCACGAAAGCUAGGGGAGCGAACGGGAUUAGAUACCCUAGUAGUC
rnacentral:rRNA from 1 species